GUAGUAUUCCCUCCGUCCCAAAAUUCUUGUCUUACAUUUGUUUAGAUACAGAUGUAUCUAACACUAAAAUGUAACUAGAUACAUCCGUAUUUAGACAAAUUUAAGACAAGAAUUUUGGGACGGAGGGAGUACAAA
rfam:Triticum aestivum genome assembly, contig: Triticum_aestivum_CS42_TGACv1_scaffold_504211_6BL